rnacentral:rRNA from 1 species
AAUAUUGGACAAUGGACGCAAGCCUGAUCCAGCCAUGCCGCGUGGAUGAUGAAGGCCUUAGGGUUGUAAAGUCCUUUUAACGGGGAAGAUAAUGACGGUACCCGUAGAAUAAGCCCCGGCUAACUUCGUGCCAGCAGCCGCGGUAAUACGAAGGGGGCUAGCGUUGUUCGGAAUCACUGGGCGUAAAGCGCGCGUAGGCGGGUCGUUAAGUCAGGGGUGAAAUCCCGAGGCUCAACCUCGGAACUGCCUUUGAUACUGGCGACCUGGAGUCCGGGAGAGGUGAGUGGAACUCCUAGUGUAGAGGUGAAAUUCGUAGAUAUUAGGAAGAACACCAGUGGCGAAGGCGGCUCACUGGCCCGGUACUGACGCUGAUGCGCGAAAGCGUGGGGAGCAAACAG